CCAGGUGCUCUCACACAUGCCCAGGUGCUCUCACACACGCCCAGGUGCUCUCUCACACGCCCAGGUGCUCUCACACACGCCCAGGUGCUCUCACACACGCCCAGGUGCUCUCACACACGCCCAGGUGCUCUCACACACGCCCAGGUGCUCUCACACACGCCCAGGUGUUCUCACACAUGCCCAGGUGCUCACA